GCAACAACUGGCAGUGCCCUGCUGGCCCUGGCUCAGAUGGACACUCAGUUAAUAAAUAACACAAUGCUUAAUUAUUGCCAGGCACUAAUGAAAUGUGUUAGGUCCUUUUAUAUACAACAGCUCUGCCACUCGCUGAAACCAGGAGACUGGGUCUACAUGGAGGUCCAUCAGCAAGGAACCGCCCUUAUCAAGUCCUGUUAAUUAUCAACACCGCUGUGAAGUGCUAAGAAUUGACUACCUGCCCAUGUUUCUCACUGUAAUGGCUCUCCGACUGAUGAUCAGUCUAUCUUUCCUUCUGGCGUUGUUGCUUCUUCUGAACAGCAGAAGUAAAGAACAAGGUUGUCUGACUUUGAUCUCACAGCUGCUUGUUGUGGGGCUCUCUCCUCUGUUCUCAGCACCAGCCAGACCCUGACAGAGCUGAACCUGUGGAAAAACAAGCUAGGAGAUUCAGGCGUGCAGCUGCUGUGUGAGGGACUGAAACAUCCAAACUGCAAACUGCAGAAAAUACAGUUGUCCGAUUGUGCUCUCACAGCUGCUUGUGGUGGGCAUCUCUCCUCUGCCCUCAGCAUCACCCUGAGCCUGACAGAGCUGAUCCUGUGGAAGAUCAGCUGGGGGAUUCUGGAGGGCAGCUGCUGUGUGAGGGACUGAAACAUCCAAAUUGCAAACUGGAGAAACUAUCAUAAGUAACAGUUGGUUCCCUUUAGUCUGUGCCUGUUAACACUGUGGUGUUGUGUGUUGUACUCUACCAGGAUCACAAUAUCCUAGAGUGCAUGGAACCUACUCACGGAGCAGCCCCACACUGCUCCUGAGGAAAAGACAGAGAUCCACUCAUGUGUACAUUGGUUUUAUUUUAUUAAUUAACAAUUGAAUAAACCCUCAACCCUUGGGCCAUAUUCAUCAGAGCAAAGCAGCUAGUGGGCAGCUGCCCUGAAGGGGUAGCCAAGGAUCUCCCUGACUUAGCACAGUGUGUAUGGAGGGGCAUGGAGACAUAUGUUGGGGCAGGAGGGGGUGGGGCAGAGUUCAUGGUGCAGUGUCAGAUCCUAGGCUGGCACAGCCACUGGGGUAACAGAAGUCUGAGGACCCUCUAAGGACAGGUUGACACUUAAAAUGCUGCAGUGGCACUGCUGUAGCACUUGAGUGGAGACACUAUCUAUGCUGAUGUGAGGGCUUCUCCCAUCAACAUAGGUACUCCACCUCCCUGAGAGGCAGUUGCUAUGUCGACAGGAGAAGGGGGUGGGAGGUCAUAGUGGCUCACAAGUUAAAU